UAUGAUCUGAAGUCAGGUGGGAUUUACCCGC
rnacentral:rRNA from 1 species